GACCGGCGGACGGGUGCGUAAUGCACAUGCAAUCUACUUUACACUGGGGAAUAGCCUCCGGAAACGGGAAUUAAUACCCCCAUAUAAUCUUACUGGCGCAUGUUAGAAAGAUGAAAGCUCCGGCGGUGUAAAAUGAGCGUGUGUCCUAUUAGCUAGUUGGAGAGGUAAUGGCUCACCAAGGCUACGAUGGGUAGGGGUUCUUAGUGGAAGGUCCCCCACACUGGCACUGAGAUACGGGCCAG
rnacentral:rRNA from 1 species